GACGUAGGGCGCAAGCGUUGUCCGGAUUACUGGGCGUAAAGAGCGCGCAGGCGGUCGUUCAAGUCGCGUGUGAAAGCCCCCGGCUCAACUGGGGAGGGUCACGCGAUACUGAUCGACUCGAAGGCAGGAGAGGGUAGUGGAAUUCCCGGUGUAGUGGUGAAAUGCGUAGAUAUCGGGAGACACCAGUGGCGAAGGCGAGCUACCCUGGCCUGGUUCCUUGACGCUGACGGCGCGAAAGCUAGGGGAGCAAAGCGGGGA
rnacentral:rRNA from 1 species